UACGUAGGGUGCAAGCGUUGUCCGGAAUUAUUGGGCGUAAAGAGCUCGUAGGCGGUUUGUCGCGUCUGCUGUGAAAACCCGAGGCUCAACCUCGGGCCUGCAGUGGGUACGGGCAGACUAGAGUGCGGUAGGGGAGAUUGGAAUUCCUGGUGUAGCGGUGGAAUGCGCAGAUAUCUGGAGGAACACCGGUGGCGAAGGCGGCAUCCUGGACCGGCAUUGACGCUGAGGCGCGAAAGCUAGGGGAGCAAACGGG
rnacentral:rRNA from 1 species